UCUUCCACUGUACACAAGAUGGCUAGCUACUUAACAUGGGGAAUUCAUCAAGUGUUUAUUGAGCACCUGUUAUGCGCUAGACACUAUUUCGAGUGCAUGGGUUAUAUGAAGGAACUGAGCAGACAACAGGGGAGUCCUCGCCAUUCUUCUGUGCCCCCUGCAGCAUAACACAGGAGCUGUCCCAUAAAGCCGUUCUGGGAAACAUCUGUCCUGAGAACACUCUGGGCUUCAGACUGGGGAGUGAUGAAGUGAUGUUCCUGACUGGAACGUAGACGGGCUUAAUGAACAUUUGUGGAAUCAGUCAAUCAAUGGAUGACGUUUGAGAUAAUCUACGCAAUGUGUAUGAGCCUGAGAUGACAAACU